rnacentral:snRNA from 1 species
CUAAAAGAUUUGUUCAAUA